GUAACACUGACACGUUCUUACAAAAAUUCCAACAUUAUUGCGAACAUUGAAUGCAACACUUGCCGUAACCUAGCAACUAACCCACAAUGCAUUGUGUUGAGGAGACGCGUUUGAAAAGUUAACAUUAGCAGUUCUAUACAGGCGAAAAUAGCAGCAUGUCUUUUUCUAUCCUGAAACGACAAAUCGGCGAGGAAAACCGUCGGUUUAAUCCUGCGUGGACUGACAAGUAUUUAUUUAUUUACCACCAAGUCCGAACGCCAAACCAAUGCGUUUACUCUGCAACGAGUGCUUUGCAGCGCUGAAAGAUUAUAAUGUCCGAAGACACCACGUUGGAAAAAUAUGCCUCGUUUCGGACAAACUUUCCCGAGGGAUGUCAUGAGAGAGCGGCUAUAAUUCAGAGUUUGACUGCAUCUUACAACCGGAGCUGUACUACAAUGAAGCGGACCUGCACAGCUCAGGAAAGGGCCACGAAAAAGAGGCUGUUCACAGACUCAGAAACUGUGAAGGACUGCAUGUUGGCUGUCGUGGAUGAAGUUUUAACGGACGAUAAAGUUAAGACGAGUGUGACAUCUGCUGUCAAACAGGUCUGACACGUCAAACAUUCUCGCCACAGAUGUCUUCGAGACAUGGUUAUCACUGAUGACUGGAUCUUCCAGGUUUGCUGUGGACUGGAGCUUCAUCUUCACCACUGUUUUCUGAGCUUUAUAAACUACACAGGAUCACAAAAAAGGACUUCAGUUUAUCCAGAUUUAUAUUUUCUUGCUGUUAUUCCAAGUCAGAGUUGAGCUGAAACAAAAUACUUGAUGAGUCAAUGACCAGGUGCUCUGUGAGGAACCGGCCAAAAUGCCCACCAGACAAAGUUGCUGCAUUAGGAUCUGCUGUCCAUCGUCCUCCCUGGUGUUCAAACAGUCUUUCUGUUUCUAGGUGGAAGCUGAAUUAGUGAGGAUGACUCCUGCUCCUGUCAUCUCUAAGCUUCUCACACAUCUUUACCUGCACAUGAGGAAAAUCACUCCUGUAGAAUGCAGGUAUGUUUGUCAUUAUUAUAAAAAGAUGUUGCCUGGUGACCUGUCAGAAACCCAUUAUACAGAGUCAGCCAAAAUAAUGUUUACACGCAUCAGGAAAAGAAAA